rnacentral:lncRNA from 1 species
CAAAUAACAAAAUAUAACAAAAACGAAAGGACAAGAACUGUCAUUUUCCUGACUUAGUACAGGCAUUUUCAAAUGUAGAUAAUGGUGGAUUAAACCUGGUUUUAUAGCGCUAACCCUCUCACUUAGAUUAGAAAAAGAAAAUUGAUUUUAGUACAACCUUAUGUAUCUUACUGUAUUUAACCACCGAAGUUUAACACAUGUAGUCGCUUUAGUGAAUUGUUAAAUUCAAAAUACUUCUUUCAAGUCCUAUAAUUAUAUGAUAAAAGUCUUAAGCUUUGCGAAUUUGAACCGUACUACUCUUUCUUCUGAUUUAGUAUAUUCAUUUUAGUUCCCCGUG